rnacentral:rRNA from 1 species
ACCGGCAGCUCAAGUGGUGGCCAUUAUUAUUGGGCCUAAAGCGUUCGUAGCCGGUUUGAUAAGUCUCUGGUGAAAUCCCGCAGCUUAACUGUGGGACUUGCUGGAGAUACUAUCAGACUUGAGGUCGGGAGAGGUUAGGGGUACUCCCAGGGUAGGGGUGAAAUCCUGGAAUCCUGGGGGGACCACCUGUGGCGAAGGCGCCUCACAAGGACGAAUCUGACAGUGAGUAACGAAAGCAGUGGGCGCAAACCG